rnacentral:rRNA from 1 species
CAGCUCUCCGAGUGGUAGGGAUGAUUAUUGAGCCUAAAGCGUCCGUAGCCGGACUAGUAAACCCUUGGGUAAAUUGGGCAGCUUAACUGUCCAAAUUCCGAGGGGACUGCUAGUCUUGGGACCGGGAGAGGUCAGAGGUACUCAAGGGGUAGGGGCUAAAUCCUGUAAUCCUUUGGGGACCACCAGUGGCGAAGGCGUCUGACUAGAACGGAUCCGACGGUAAGGGACGAAACCCUGGGGCGCGAACCGGAUUAGAUACCCGAGUAGUCC